UGGGGAAUAUUGGACAAUGGGCGAAAGCCUGAUCCAGCCAUGCCGCGUGUGUGAAGAAGGUCUUCGGAUUGUAAAGCACUUUAAGUUGGGAGGAAGGGCAGUAAGCGAAUACCUUGCUGUUUUGACGUUACCGACAGAAUAAGCACCGGCUAACUCUGUGCCAGCAGCCGCGGUAAUACAGAGGGUGCAAGCGUUAAUCGGAAUUACUGGGCGUAAAGCGCGCGUAGGUGGUUCGUUAAGUUGAAUGUGAAAGCCCCGGGCUCAACCUGGGAACUGCCUCCAAAACUGGCGAGCUAGAGUAGGGCAGAGGGUGGUGGAAUUUCCUGUGUAGCGGUGAAAAGCGUAGAUAUAGGAAGGAACACCAGUGGCGAAGGCGACCACCAGGGCUCAUACUGACAAUGAGGUGCGAAAGCGUGGGGAGCAAACAGG
rnacentral:rRNA from 1 species